rnacentral:rRNA from 1 species
UACGAACUGUCCUAACGUUGUUCGGAAUCACUGGGCUUAAAGGGCGCGUAGGCGGUCCGACAAGUCAGGGGUGAAAUCCUGCAGCUUAACUGCAGAAGUGCCUUUGAUACUGUCGGUCUUGAGGGAGAUAGGGGUGUGCGGAACUCACAGUGGAGCGGUGAAAUGCGUUGAUAUUGUGAGGAACGCCGGAGGCGAAAGCGGCGCACUGGAUCUCUUCUGACGCUGAGGCGCGAAAGCUAGGGGAGCAAACGGG